AAAAAAAAAUUUUUCAUAUGUUGUCUUGUGAGAACAAAGUCAUUUCUGGUUAUGCUUGUCAAGAUUGGAGGAUUUGUCAUUUGAACAGUUGACUCACUAUUUUCUUAAAGUAGAUACUAUAGUCUGUUAUAUGGAUGCACUUUAAUGGAAAUAUUAUUCCUUCUAAAGAUUAAGAAAUGGUGCAUAGUUUUGUAUUUAAAUA
rnacentral:misc_RNA from 1 species